UACAUAGGGGGCGAGCGUUAUCCGGAAUUAUUGGGUGUAAAGGGUGCGUAGACGGGGGAUUAAGUUAGUUGUGAAAGCCCAUGGCUCAACUGUGGAACAGCAACUAAGACUGAUUUUCUUGAGUACUGGAGAGGAAAGUGGAAUUUCUAGUGUAGCGGUGAAAUGCGUAGAUAUUAGGAGGAACACCAGUGGCGAAGGCGACUUUCUGGACAGAAACUGACGUUGAGGCACGAAAGUGUGGGGAGCAAAC
rnacentral:rRNA from 1 species